CCUACGGGGUGCAGCAGUGAGGAAUAUUGGUCAAUGGGCUUACGCCUGAACCAGCCAAGUCGCGUGAGGGAAGACUGCCCUAUGGGUUGUAAACCUCUUUUGUCAGGGAGCAAUUGGCGCUACGUGUAGCGUUAUCGAGAGUACCUGAAGAAAAAGCAUCGGCUAACUCCGUGCCAGCAGCCGCGGUAAUACGGAGGAUGCGAGCGUUAUCCGGAUUUAUUGGGUUUAAAGGGUGCGUAGGCGGAUUUUUAAGUCAGCGGUAAAAUGUCCGGGCUCAACCCGGGCCGGCCGUUGAAACUGGGGAUCUUGAGUGGGCGAGAAGUAUGCGGAAUGCGUGGUGUAGCGGUGAAAUGCUUAGAGAUCAUACAGAACACCGAUUGCGAAGGCAGCUUACCAAGCUACUUCUGACGUUGAGGCACGAAAGCGUGGGGAGCAAACAGGAUUAGAUACCCCAGUAGUC
rnacentral:rRNA from 1 species